GGGAUUCACGUGCGGAAGAAAGUCUGAGGGGCGCGGCAUGCGGUUUCUGUUCAAGACCGACUACAACGACGACAUCCGGCUCAUCCCGCACAGCGGUUACAUCUGGUCCUAUGGCGCGCUGCUGGUGCUGNNNNNNNNNNNNAUCGCGCCGUUCACACUCAGCAGCUAUCUGAUGAGCCAGCUCGUGUUCGUCUGCAUCUACGCCAUCGUCGGCGUCGGGCUGAUGAUCCUUACCGGCUUUACCGGGCAGGCC
rnacentral:misc_RNA from 1 species